AGAGUUUGAUCCUGGCUCAGAACGAACGCUGGCGGCGUGCUUAACACAUGCAAGUCGAGUGCGCGCCUGUAGCAAUACAGGUGGCGCACGGCGCACGGGUGCGUAACACGUGGGCAAUCUGCCCUCUGAUGGGGAAUAACCCGCCGAAAGGCGGGCUAAUACCGCAUAAAAUUCCUUGGACUCAUGUUCGAGGACUCAAAGGCGUAAGUCGUCGGAGGAGGAGCCCGCGCACGAUUAGCUAGUUGGUAGGGUAAUGGCCUACCAAGGCUUUGAUCGUUAGCUGGUCUGAGAGGAUGGCCAGCCACACUGGAACUGAGACACGGUCCAGACUCCUACGGGAGGCAGCAGUGGGGAAUCUUGCACAAUGGGCGAAAGCCUGAUGCAGCGACGCCGCGUGGGGGAUGAAGCAUUUCGGUGUGUAAACCCCUUUCGAUCCGGACGAAUACCUCGCAAGAGGGGUGACGGUACGGAUAUAAGAAGCCCCGGCUAACUACGUGCCAGCAGCCGCGGUAAGACGUAGGGGGCCAGCGUUGUUCGGAAUUACUGGGUGUAAAGGGUUCGUAGGCGGUGUGGCAAGUUGGGAGUGAAAUCUCUGGGCUCAACCCAGAGACUGCUUCCAAAACUGCUGUGCUUGAGUGUGAGAGAGGCUCGUGGAAUUGCAGGUGUAGCGGUGAAAUGCGUAGAUAUCUGCAGGAACACCCGUGGCGAAAGCGGCGAGCUGGAUCACUACUGACGCUGAGGAACGAAAGCUAGGGGAGCAAACAGGAUUAGAUACCCUAGUAGUCC
rnacentral:rRNA from 1 species